GGGAAGCAAACUACUGGAUAUAGAGUUCAAAACCACGGUUAUAAGGUUUUUCAAGAAGUUUCUAGAAACUGCUGAUAAAUUUACUGAGACUCUUGAGGAUAU